UCCGUAGGGGGUCUGCCAAGUCCGAUGUGAAAGCCCACGGCUCAACUGUGGAACGGCAUUGGAUACUGGCGGGCUGGAGUCUGCGAGGGGUGAGCGGAAUUCCUGGUGUAGCGGUGGAAUGCGUAGAUAUCAGGAAGAACACCGAUGGCGAAGGCGGCUCACUGGCGCAGUACUGACCCUGAGGGACGAAAGCGUGGGUAGCAAACA
rnacentral:rRNA from 1 species